GGUGGGGGUGGGGAACGACCAUGUACUCACUGCAUCUCUUACUGCAUCAGACGAGACUUUGAAGCAAACACGAGCAGCAGCAGAGCAGCAAGCUAAUGUUUGUAAGUCUAACGUCACCUUACUUUUAAAUGAAAAGAAGACACUCGUUGAUCAAGUGAAUGAUCUGGAACAAUCGGUCGACUCUCUCAACCAAACUAUCACGAACCUCACGAGUGAAAUAAUAAGUUAUGCAGACCAAC